AUGGCGAUCCGACACUACUGGUCGAUGGCUGCCGCUGCUGUCGGGUUCCGCCUCGUUCUGGUGCUCUUCAGCAGAGACCUCCACCUUGCCUCCCGCCCAGAGGUCUCCACCCCCCUCACGUCCCUUCGCCGCCUUGCAGACGGAUACUGGCUGAAGCAUGCAUCCAUGUCACCCUAUUCCGGUUCGAUGUAUCAUGGUUCCCCUUUGCUUCUAUCGGUUCUUGGUCCGCUAACCAGUAAAAGGUCAGGUGGACACCAUUCUCAUAUAUAUUGCAGUUUGGUUUUUGUGGCUGUAGAUUUUAUAGCUGCUAUGCUCAAUCAACUGGUGAACAUAAGUGCAGGAGAUACUGCUUCUCUAAUAUAUCUGUGGAACCCUUGGACAAUAAUCACCUGUGUGGGUUCAUGUACAUCACCAAUUGAGAAUUUAAUGGUCGUGAUAAUGUUACAUGGAGCCUGUUCACGUCUUCCACCGCUUGCUGCCUUUGGAUAUGUUAUGGCAACGCAUCUUUCUCUUUAUCCUGCAAUUCUUAUUCUACCUAUAUGUGUUGCUCUUUUAUUGGGUUAUGGUCCAGAUACCCCUCCAACUAAAGUAUUUCUACAAAAAGGCCCAAGUGCCAAUAAAAUUGACAUUUCAGAUAAUGGAAAAAGUACUAUCCAAAAAGGAUUUGGACAAUUCUCACGGAAACCAAUACUCCACUUCAUAUUGUUGGUCUUUAUCUGGUCAUGUUAUGUGCUGUUAUUGAACAGCGUUAUUCUAAAUAAAGUGGGUGGCCUUCAGGAGAUGUUUGAGAAGACAUAUGGUUUUAUCCUUGCAGUGAGGGAUUUAUCACCAAAAUAUUGGUAUUUCUUUGCCGAAGUCUUCGACUUCUUCAGAAGCUUCUUUCUUAUAGUCUUUAAUAUGAACAUCAUUUUUAUGGUCUUGCCAUUGCCUAUCCGUUUGAAGCACCGACCGUGCUUCCUUGCCUUUGUUUAUAUAGCAAUUAUUGCAAUGCUGAAAUCUUAUACCUCGGCUGGAGAUUUAGCUCUAUAUCUAGGACUUGUAGGCCUAUUCACCAAUGAACUAGCGGAGAUGCAAUUCACCUUCAUCCUGUUUUUUGGAUACAUUGGAGUCUCUCUCCUUAGCCCUGUCAUGCAUAACCUAUGGAUCUGGAGGACUGUAUUGGUCGUAGAGACUGUAAGUUCAAUGAUAAAGCAUCAUAGGAAACUAAGGCUACUUAUAAAAGCUUAA
rnacentral:rRNA from 1 species